rnacentral:tRNA from 1 species
GGCAGCUCAGCGGCAGGGGUCGGACCAAGAUCGCGGACGCCCUGUAAAUCCGUCGCGAAAGCUACAGAGGUUCGAAUCCUCUACCCGCUACCA